UAAUCUGACUAUUGGAGAUCUCACCAGUUUCUUUGUCAAUGAUGUGGGAGAUGUUUACUUCUAAUGAGACAAGGGACAACAGAGUGGAACAGAGUGUGAAACAAGGCUGCUGAUUCGUGUUUUGGUGCAGAACAUUCGAUGCGCAGGAAUUCUUAAUGAUGUUAAAUAGAAGUUACCUAUUCUUAAAAGGUAAGAUCAACAGGGAAGGGAUGGGUCAGGAAUGAUUCCAUAGUUUUUAGUCUGGGAAAAUCGGAAGGAUAGUUACAUUUACUGAAAUUGGUAUGACAGCAGGAGGAGCAGGUCUUGGAG
rnacentral:lncRNA from 10 species